UACGGGGGGGGCAAGCGUUGUUCGGAAUUACUGGGCGUAAAGGGCUCGUAGGUGGCCAACUAAGUCACACGUGAAAUCCCUCGGCUUAACCGGGGAACUGCGUGUGAUACUGGAUGGCUUGAGUUUGGGAGAGGGAUGCGGAAUUCCGCGUGUAGCAGUGAAAUGCGUAGAGAUGCGGAGGAACACCGAUGGCGAAGGCAGCCCCCUGGGCCAACACUGACGCUCAGGCACGAAGGCCAGGGGAGCAAACGGG
rnacentral:rRNA from 1 species